GUGAUCGCUUUGCCAGCACAUAUCCUAAAAUUGGAACAAUACAGAGAAGAUUAGCAUGGCCUGUGGACAGGGAUGGCAAACAAUUCGUGAAGCGUUCCAUAUUUGU